CCAAUCAUAAACCGUCAUUGUACACCCCAUUGGAUACGGUUCCUGAUUCAGCGAUUCUGGACUGCAAGCAGUUUCAACCGAACGAUGAGGAGAAGCUAUUUUACAAUCCAGAAACAGAUGUGUUAGACGAUCUGCCAUUCAAACAGAACACAGAAGAGGGGAAAGAAUGACAAUCUACUUCGAUUGAAUCUUGCUUGGUUCUAUUACUUUUAGCAGUCCACAAUCUGUCAAUUUAGCAUAUGUCCCUGUAUAUUCAUCACAGCAAUUUGAUGAAUGUAUGCGAUAAGAUAUGUAACAAUAAUACUUGGAAAAUAAAUGAAAACGUUAUUUUUCAGCUUGGUAUGUUUAGAAUAAUUCAUUGCAAAAAUAACACAUCAGGCAAUUUUUAAUUAACCGUUUUGCAAAUAGCAGAUUUAAUUGUUAUAAAAUUCGAAAAAAAGCUACAUAAAUUAUUGACAUAAAUUGUUGUUGUUUUCUUAUGUUUAAAUGCAUUUCUUAGUCUGGGUCUUAAGGAUGCCCAAGAUGGAUUGGAAUUUUCCAGACGACCUCACAUCUACUCAUCGAUAAUACUUCAAUUAGGUUCCAAAUACACCUGUAGGUAACAUCACUGGCAAACAACGACCAUUGGAAAACGCCU